UGUGCUGAAUGUCUGUAGCGCCUCAUGGACUGGUGCCAGGCAUCUCUUGACUUCUGUAAUCUCUGCUUGAGUGGACCUAGAUACCUCGUGCAUGUGUGGAUUCCAUCUCUACAGCUGCAAACAAGUAAGAUUAGUGUACGGACGCUGUUUGUCAGUGGCCUUCCUGUGGAUAUCAAACCCAGAGAGCUCUACCUUCUCUUCCGACCAUUCAAGGGUUAUGAGGGGUCGCUGAUCAAGCUGACUUCAAAGCAGCCAGUGGGCUUUGUGACCUUUGACAGCCGGGCUGGUGCUGAAGCAGCGAAGAACGCCUUGAAUGGCAUCCGCUUUGACCCUGAGAACCCCCAGACCUUGCGGUUAGAAUUCGCUAAAGCCAACACAAAGAUGGCCAAGAGCAAGCUGAUGGCCACACCGAACCCCACCAAUAUCCACCCUGCACUGGGUGCACAUUUCAUUGCACGGGACCCCUAUGACCUGACUGGAGCGGCUCUGAUCCCAGCGUCCCCGGAGGCGUGGGCUCCCUACCCGCUGUACACCACGGAGCUGACCCCUGCCAUCCCCCAUGCUGCCUUCACCUACCCGGCAGCUGCUGCUGCAGCUGCUGCUCUUCACGCUCAGUGAACUCCAGCCAUGAUGCCAGCGCAGGCUAGCCCUGAAGCUCAGAGCUGUCCCUGGAGAUGGGACGCCCUAGUGAUGCCUUAUUGCAGCUAGUGGAGUGGCUGUACUACAGCUCCAUUCCUAGAAGUGUUAAGCAUGAUGGCAGCCACGUCUGGAAAGACUGAUGCGUUGGUAUCCGCCCUCUGAAGCUACCCAGCAAGGAUGGAAGUCUCGUCAGUUUUGUUAGUUUGUUAUGUCUCUUCUUGGCCUGUGUUCCUCCUCCCUGCCCUCCGCAGAGGGAUGUUCCAGGGACGAUGGCUCCGACUCCUCUGGAUUUGGUAUGUGGCCAGCGGACACUGCGCCUGGCCCCACCACGCUGCCCCCGGGCCUGCCAGCACCCCUUUCCCUGGACUGUGAAGCCAUUGUGGCCUCAGCCAUGGGCUGUGCCUCUGUCCCUCUCUCCAUCCAUCCAUCCCUCCAUCCCUCCCCAAGCCAUCCCCAGGACCUCCUCCCUGGCUGAGCUUUGCCAUCUGGCUGCACUGAAACCCAGCUGGGGGGAAGGUCCUGGGCUUCCCCGGGCUCGCCCUGCCCCGGGGGCAGCUCGGCCGAAGGAAUCGAAAGGCAAAGUGGGUUUUGCAUGUUUUCUGGCAUGAAUUAAAACACUUAACUUGUGUCUGUGUGAGUGUAAGUUUGUUUGUUCUAGCGUUUGUGUAACCGUUAGCAACAGGUCUUGGCCCAGCAGAUUGAUCCAUCAAGGUUUUCCUCUUACUUCGGUGAAGACUUGGCUUUGAGAAAUACUAACUGUCCUUGUCUCACCCCUUUUCCCACCUCCACCCUCCCCUCCCCAGGAUGACCAGAAAAAUUUGAAAAAUGCUUUUUUUUUCUUUUUUUCUUCUUUCUUUUUCUUUCCUUCUUUCUUUCUUUUUUUUUUUUUUUUUAAAGUACGAUGCACUGGGUUUUUGUUCUCAUCCAUUCUGCUCGUUUUAAAGUCAGGGUUAUUAUAUUAUUUUUUUCCUUCUUCAGACUUCUAUAUAUAGAACAGCUGUAAAAUAUCUAACCUCUUCUUUUUUUUCCCACAUUCUUCUGAUUGGAGAGCAUCCAGUCUUGCCAAAUAAUCAGCCAUCCUUAUGGGAAUACCGAACAAAAAAAAAAAGUAUGAGUAUUUUUGUAACAUGUGUAAUAAGGAAAUAUUUAUGCAUCAUAAAGAAUUUCUUGUGUGUUUGUGUGCAAUUAAUUAUUAUUAUUAUUAAAGAGAAAUUGUAAUCCUGUAAGAUAAGUUAAUGUUUAGUUAAAAGCUUGAAAAAGAAGGAUUGUCUUCUGUACCAAUGAUUCAGUCAGGCAUAGUAAACAAGAAAUUGUGCAAUUUUUGUUUUAGCAUCUUAUUGCUUGGUAUUGAAGUGCUUUAAGUAUUAUCUGACCAUGGCUCUCUCGCUUGUAUUAAAAGAUUUGAGAAUAA